rnacentral:lncRNA from 1 species
AGCAAAGUUGAGCACUUGGAGCUUUUGAUUGAGUUUUCCCCCAUCUCCAAGCUUGGAUCAUCAAUCCUCUAGUUCUUCAAGAGGUAAGCAUGGAUCCUCACCUCCCCUUAUGUUUAAAGCAAGUUUUAAGAAGUUUUGGAGAGUUUUAUGGCAUGUUUUGGGGUAUAAGCAUGAGUUUGAGCAUAUGUUGAGCAUAUGCGUGUUGUUGUUUUUGGGGCUUGAGCUAGGUUUUAGGCCUCUAUAUGCAUGAGAUAUG